rnacentral:rRNA from 1 species
UACGUAGGGUGCGAGCGUUGUCCGGAAUUAUUGGGCGUAAAGCGCGCGCAGGCGGUCCUUUAAGUCUGAUGUGAAAGCCCACGGCUCAACCGUGGAGGGUCAUUGGAAACUGGGGGACUUGAGUACAGAAGAGAAGAGUGGAAUUCCACGUGUAGCGGUGAAAUGCGUAGAUAUCAGGAGGAACACCCGAGGCGAAGGCGGCUCUCUGGGUCGUACCUGACGCUGAGGCGCGAAAGCGUGGGGAGCGAACGGG